UUUUUAAAGCAGAAAGGGCGUCCACAGCCUGGGCUACAGUUUGGGGAAAACACUGAGCUGUUUCCUCUCCAUCACAUCUAAGGUGAGGCAUCACAAAGCCCAGCUUUCCUUCCAUGCGGAAUAAAAUGCUUGGAUGGACAGGAAGAAUAAAUCACAGUGAUAAAUCCAUGGGCUGUACCUCGCUCCCAUUCUGUUCCUUCCUUCUAUUACUUAGGAUCAAUAGUCAAUACUUACCCCAAACCCACGGAAGUCAUAUUAAGAUACGUUUGCUAGCUGCUUGCCUGGGCAGUCAUAGAAUUCUACCAGAUUCCAUUAAACUGGUGCUCUGCUCAGUAAAUAGCCAUGAAAACACCGAGGUACUUAGAGCAAAUCCUCCAUCCCCUGCUAACACCUUAGAUUACAGCCGUCUAAUUACCACGUUUUGCAGCCGCCCGAUGGGGCUUCCACAGGUAAUUAGAACUCCAGAGCUUUCCAGCAGUAAUCCAGUAAGGAGUUCUUAACUAGAAAGGAUUAUGCACCGCUAAUAUUGUCGUGCCUACGUGUUUGCUACAGUUAAUUGUUUCAAUUAAUAUUUGGCUGCACUACAGAAUUUCAUGCAGCUUCAUAUACUGCGACAGUUCAUGUCAACUCUGAAGUAGUCGUGUGGCCUUCAUGCCAUCCCCCUUUCUCUCUCUCUCUCUCUCUCUC